CGCCUAUUAAACUCCCUGAUGGGUUUAAAGUGAUCCUACGUGCUGGAGGAAGUAUUCGUGUUCAGGUAAAUUCUGCCGAAGCGGGAAUCUGGAGUGAUUAAGUAGGAAUGCCAUGAGCGAGUCACUGGUGAAACGUUAUCCUCAUGGAAAAUCUUCCGAGCUGCCUCUUUGACACGCUGCCCACAUAUUUUAUAGCACUGUGUUAAUAUGAGAGGCACUUCAGCAGCCAGAGAAAGGUCUGGAAGGAGAGCAGAUCUACAGCUCGGAUAAGCAAUCCAAGAUGAAACGCUAACCAGGCCAGCCGACGAUUGCCUGUUAUUUAUAGACGGCAGAAAGGCGAGCUUGUUAAGCUCUUUAUUUGGGGCAAUAGUUGGAAGUGUGAUCUCAGAUUCACUGCAGGUUUCUGGAUUUUGUCUGUUACUUAACUCACUGGACUCUGGAUGCUUCAGCUUCAUCGUGUCGGUGGUAUUUUUAUUUUUGUAACUAAGUUGUCAUGAAAACACUGUCGACUGGCAGCUGUUCACACCUAAUCUGACUUUAACUAUCGAACAUCGGUUCUCAUGAGUCACUCUGAGUAAAAGACUGAGAUAUUUCAG